AAGUCUUGUCGCAUACGUUUUGUAACAACAAAUAAUAACUUGACUUCUAGUUGAUCAUUUCGUAUCAGAAGUGGCCUCUAAAAGUCUAAAAAUGGCCUCUAGAUUACGCU